rnacentral:tRNA from 1 species
GCCUUCGUGGUGUAGAGGUAGAACACUCGGCUCGUAUUCGAGAGGUCCAGGUUCGAGUCCCGGUGAAUGCA